rnacentral:rRNA from 1 species
AGAAUCAACGCUGGCGGCGUGCCUAACACAUGCAAGUCGAACGAGAAAGUGGAGCAAUCCAUGAGUAAAGUGGCGCACGGGUGAGUAACACGUGACUAACCUACCCUGGAGUGGGGGAUAACUGAGGAACCUUAGCUAAUACCGCAUAAUACCUACGGGUCAAAGGAGCAAUUCGCUUCGAGGAGGGGGUCGCGGCCGAUUAGUUAGUUGGCGGGGUAAUGGCCACCAAGACAGUGAUCGGUA